AUUCUCCACAAAAACACUGGUGGCUCUGCUAUUGCUUUCCCAUUUGCUGAGCACAUUUAGAAAUACCUGUAGACUGGCCCAGAAGAUGGAGUCUGUCCGGUUUAAGUUAAGGAGCUUCACAGAAGACAGUCUCACAACUUCCCUUUUGAUACUAUUUUGCCCACAGAGCUGGUCAUUCUUUAUUUUCAGUCCAUCAGUGACAUUUACCAAACCAUCACGGGUAAUGGAAAAUACAAGACUUAAAAGAAGAUUCAAAAGAAACGUUACAUGCCUUCUCUUGCAGAUUCUUUAAUUUGUGGAGAAAGAAGACAGUCCUACAGAAAGCAAGCAAUGUGGAUAUGUAGGUUCAGGUAUUUGGUUUAGUUUAGCAGCUUUUAACAUAUGCUAUUAUGAAAUAGAGCUAUUAUGAAAUUUUAUAUACACGUGGAAUAA